rnacentral:rRNA from 1 species
UACGGGGGGGAGCAAGCGUUGUUCGGAUUUACUGGGCGUAAAGGGCGCGUAGGCGGUCGUGACAAGUCACUUGUGAAAUCUCCGGGCUUAACUCGGAACGGUCAAGUGAUACUGUCGGACUAGAGUACAGAAGGGCAACUGGAAUUCUCGGUGUAGCGGUGAAAUGCGCAGAUAUCUGGAGGAACACCGAUGGCGAAGGCAAUCCCCUGGACCUGUACUGACGCUCAUGCACGAAAGCGUGGGGAGCAAACAGG